CCUACGGGAGGCAGCAGUGGGGAAUAUUGCACAAUGGGGGAAACCCUGAUGCAGCGACGCCGCGUGAGUGAAGAAGUAUUUCGGUACGUAAAGCUCUAUCAGCAGGGAAGAAAAUGACGGUACCUGACUAAGAAGCACCGGCUAACUACGUGCCAGCAGCCGCGGUAAUACGUAGGGGGCAAGCGUUAUCCGGAUUUACUGGGUGUAAAGGGAGCGUAGACGGCAGCGCAAGUCUGGAGUGAAAUCCCAUGGCUUAACCAUGGAACUGCUUUGGAAACUGUGCAGCUAGAGUGCAGGAGAGGUAAGCGGAAUUCCUAGUGUAGCGGUGAAAUGCGUAGAUAUUAGGAGGAACACCAGUGGCGAAGGCGGCUUACUGGACUGUAACUGACGUUGAGGCUCGAAAGCGUGGGGAGCAAACAGGAUUAGAUACCCGGGUAGUC
rnacentral:rRNA from 1 species